rnacentral:lncRNA from 1 species
ACUUCCUGCAGAAAUCCUCCAGCCCUGUUAGAAAUGCCUCAGCCAAGGGGACUCAUCUCCUCAAACCUGGGGGACCAAGGCCUACGAGAGGUCACAGCAUGAGCCAGGACAUUCAGAGGUACCCAGACAUUGUUAUGAAACUCCGCAUGUGUCCCUGGUGAACGCUGCUGGACCCAGCAUGCACACUUCUCUGCUAAGAGUCACCCUGGAUGAACCACCAUUGCCAGCGGGGAGCAUGUUGCAGCUUUCCCACGCAGUGGAUGAGAACCAAGGUUACGACCAUUGUGUAGGAGGCGUCUGUGUAGCAAUUGCUGGAAUCACUUGUGGCAUCGUAGAAAGACUGAGCGUGGGAAAGAAGACGCAUUCUGAAGUCACCCCGAUUUGUGUUAAAUGAUCACCUUGACUACUGCUAUAGAACGAAUGUUUAUGUCCCCCACCCAAAUUCAUAUGCUAAGACCUAAUAGCCAAUAAGAUAGUAUGAAUAGAUGGGGCCUUUGG